rnacentral:rRNA from 1 species
CCUACGGGAGGCAGCAGUAGGGAAUAUUGGACAAUGGGGGCAACCCUGAUCCAGCCAUGCCGCGUGAGUGAAGAAGGCCCUCGGGUUGUAAAGCUCUUUUGUCCGGAAAGAAAAGCAAUCGGUUAAUACCCGGUUGUCCUGACGGUACCGGAAGAAUAAGCACCGGCUAACUUCGUGCCAGCAGCCGCGGUAAUACGAAGGGUGCAAGCGUUACUCGGAAUUACUGGGCGUAAAGCGUGCGUAGGUGGUUCGUUAAGUCUGGUGUGAAAGCCCUGGCUCAACCUGGGAAUGGCAUUGGAUACUGGCGGGCUAGAGUGCGUAGAGGGUAGUGGAAUUCCCGGUGUAGCAGUGAAAUGCGUAGAGAUCGGGAGGAACAUCUGUGGCGAAGGCGACUGCCUGGACCAGCACUGACACUGAGGCACGRAAGCGUGGGGAGCAAACAGGAUUAGAUACCCUGGUAGUCCACGCCCUAAACGAUGCGAACUGGAUGUUGGGUUCAACUUGGAACUCAGUAUCGAAGCUAACGCGUUAAGUUCGCCGCCUGGGGAGUACGGUCGCAAGACUGAAACUCAAAGGAAUUGACGG